ensembl:rRNA 5S_rRNA 5S ribosomal RNA
AUCUAUGGCCAUACCACCCUGAACAUGCCCUAUCUUGUCUGAUUGCAGAAGCUAAGCAGGGUCGGGUCUGGUUAGUACUUGGAUGGGAGAAAAGACAGUAACAACAAAUGUUGGAGAGG